AGAAGGUGAAAGCCCUGUAAUCGAAACCUUGCAUACACGGGACUGUAUCCAGAGUACCACGAGACACGUGAAACCUUGUGGGAAGCAGGGGGGACCACCCUCCAAGCCAAAAUACUGAUAUCGACCGAUAGCGCAUAGUACCGUGAGGGAAAGGUGAAAAGAACCCCUGGCGGGGAGUGAAAGAGAACCUGAAACCGUAUGUCUACAAACAGUCGAAGUCUGUAUAUAUAUCAGGACGACGGCGUGCCUAUUGAAGAAUGAACCGACGAGUUACUGUUGCUAGCGAGGUUAAGUGGAAAACAUGGAGCCGCAGCGAAAGCGAGUCUGAACAGGGCGUUCAGUUAGUAAUAGUAGACCCGAAACCGUAGUGAUCUAUCCAUGGCCAGGUUGAAGCACAGGUAAAAUUGUGUGGAGGACCGAACUCGUGAGCGUUGAAAAGCUUUGGGAUGAGUUGUGGAUAGGGGUGAAAUGCCAAUCGAACACGGAGAUAGCUGGUUCUCCCCGAAAUAGCUUUAGGGCUAGCCUCGAGGUUGAGAGUAUAGGCGGUAGAGCACUGAUCGGGCUAGGGGCCAUACCGGUUACCGAACCUAGUCAAACUACGAAUGGCUAUACUUAUACUCGGGAGUCAGACAGUGAAUGAUAAGGUCCAUUGUCAAGAGGGAAACAGCCCAGAACACCGACUAAGGUCCCAAAUGUUACACUAAGUGGCGAAGGAUGUGGAAUUUCCAAAACAACCAGGAUGUUGGCUUAGAAGCAGCCACCAUUUAAAGAGUGCGUAAUAGCUCACUGGUCGAGAGACUCUGCGCCGAAGAUGUCCGGGGCUAAAGUGUAAAACCGAAGUCGUGUCAUAUGCAGCAAUGUAUAUGGGUAGGGGAGCGUUCUCAUCGGGCUGAAGCAGUACCGUAAGGAGUUGUGGACUGAUGAGAAGUGAGAAUGUCGGUAUGAGUAGCGAAAAGAAUGGUGAGAAUCCAUUCCACCGAAAGCCUAAGGGUUCCUGAGCAACGAUCGUCGUCUCAGGGUAAGUCGGGACCUAAGCCGAGGCGGAAAAGCGUAGGCGAUGGACAACAGGUUGAAAUUCCUGUACCGGUGUGAAUCGUUUGAUCGAUGGAGUGACACAGUAAGGUAGGUCAGCACGCGAUUGGAAGUGCGUGUUUAAGCAUGUAGGUUGAGCUAUAGGCAAAUCCGUAGCUCUGAAAGCUGAGAUGUGAUGACGAGUUACUAGCGAUAGUAACGAAGUGAUUGAUCCUACACUGUCGAGAAAAGCUUCUAGGUAGAGACACAUCGCCCGUACCAAAACCGACACAGGUAGGCGGGGAGAGAAUCCUAAGGUGCGCGGGAAAACCCUCGUUAAGGAACUCGGCAAAAUGCCUCCGUAACUUCGGGAAAAGGAGGACUCAUGUAGUGUGAAGUGCAGCAACGCAUGGAGCAUGAAUGAGUGGCACAAGAGAGGCGCAAGCGACUGUUUACCACAAACACAGGUGCCUGCUAAAGCGAAAGCUGACGUAUAGGUGCUGACACCUGCCCGGUGCUGGAAGGUUAAGAGGAGGGGUUAGACUUCGGUCGAAGCUCUGAAUUGAAGCCCCAGUAAACGGCGGCCGUAACUAUAACGGUCCUAAGGUAGCGAAAUUCCUUGUCGGGUAAGUUCCGACCCGCACGAAAGGUGUAACGACUUGCGCACUGUCUCAACGAGGGACCCGGUGAAAUUGAAGUACCUGUGAAGAUGCAGGUUACCCGCGACUGGACAGAAAGACCCCAUGGAGCUUUACUGCAACCUAAGAUUGAACUUAGUUAAUGAAUGUACAGGAUAGGUGGGAGACGUAGAACCUAGGACGCCAGUUUUAGGGGAGUCGCUGUUGGGAUACCACCCUUUCAUUAAUUGAUUUCUAACGGGCCGAGUAACGACCGGCCGGACAGUCUUAGGCGGGCAGUUUGACUGGGGCGGUCGCCUCCAAAAGAGUAACGGAGGCGCCCAAAGGUUCCCUCAGAGCGGACGGAAAUCGCUCGAAGAGUGUAAAGGCAGAAGGGAGCUUGACUGCGAGACGGACAGGUCGAGCAGGGACGAAAGUCGGGCUUAGUGAUCCGGUGGUGCCGAGUGGAAGGGCCAUCGCUCAACGGAUAAAAGCUACCCUGGGGAUAACAGGCUAAUCUCUCCCAAGAGUCCAUAUCGACGGGGAGGUUUGGCACCUCGAUGUCGGCUCAUCACAUCCUGGGGCUGAAGUAGGUCCCAAGGGUUCGGCUGUUCGCCGAUUAAAGUGG
rnacentral:rRNA from 1 species